AGGACGAACGCUGGCGGCGUGCUUAACACAUGCAAGUCGAACGAUGAAGGAGGAGCUUGCUCCUCUGGAUUAGUGGCGAACGGGUGAGUAACACGUGAGCAAUGUGCCCUUGACUCUGGAAUAAGCGCUGGAAACGGCGUCUAAUACCGGAUAUGACCUCCUAUCGCAUGGUGGGUGGUGGAAAGAUUUUAUCGGUGCAGGAUGGGCCCGCGGCCUAUCAGCUUGUUGGUGGGGUAAUGGCCUACCAAGGCGACGACGGGUAGCCGACCUGAGAGGGUGACCGGCCACGACUGGGACUGAGACACGGCCCAGACUCCUACGGGAGGCAGCAGUGGGAAUAUUGCACGAAUGGGCGAAAGCCUAGAUGCAGCGACGCCGCGUGAGGGAUGACGGCCUUUCGGUUGUAAACCUCUUUCAGCGAGGGACCCGAAGGCGACAAGUGACGGUACCUGACAGAAGAACGCACCGGACUAACGUACGUGCCAGCCAAGUCCGA
rnacentral:rRNA from 1 species